UGGGGAAUAUUGCACAAUGGGCGCAAGCCUGAUGCAGCCAUGCCGCGUGUGUGAAGAAGGCCUUCGGGUUGUAAAGCACUUUCAGCGAGGAGGAAGGUGGUGAGCUUAAUACGCUCAUCAAUUGACGUUACUCGCAGAAGAAGCACCGGCUAACUCCGUGCCAGCAGCCGCGGUAAUACGGAGGGUGCAAGCGUUAAUCGGAAUUACUGGGCGUAAAGCGCACGCAGGCGGUUUGUUAAGUCAGAUGUGAAAUCCCCGGGCUCAACCUGGGAACUGCAUUUGAAACUGGCAAGCUAGAGUCUCGUAGAGGGGGGUAGAAUUCCAGGUGUAGCGGUGAAAUGCGUAGAGAUCUGGAGGAAUACCGGUGGCGAAGGCGGCCCCCUGGACGAAGACUGACGCUCAGGUGCGAAAGCGUGGGGCAGCAAACAGGAUUAGAUACCCCUGGU
rnacentral:rRNA from 1 species